rnacentral:rRNA from 1 species
AGCGUACACGGUGGAUGCCCUGGCAGUCAGAGGCGAUGAAGGACGUGCUAAUCUGCGAAAAGCGUCGGUAAGGUGAUAUGAACCGUUAUAACCGGCGAUGUCCGAAUGGGGAAACCCAGUGUGAUUCGUCACACUAUCGUUAACUGAAUACAUAGGUUAACGAGGCGAACCGGGGGAACUGAAACAUCUAAGUACCCCGAGGAAAAGAAAUCAACCGAGAUUCCCCCAGUAGCGGCGAGCGAACGGGGAGCAGCCCAGAGUCUGAAUCAGCUUGUGUGUUAGUGGAACGGUCUGGAAAGUCCGACGGUACAGGGUGAUAGUCCCGUACACCAAAAUGCACAGGCUGUGAACUCGAAGAGUAGGGCGGGACACGUGGUAUCCUGUCUGAAUAUGGGGGGACCAUCCUCCAAGGCUAAAUACUCCUGACUGACCGAUAGUGAACCAGUACCGUGAGGGAAAGGCGAAAAGAACCCCGGCGAGGGGAGUGAAAAAGAACCUGAAACCGUGUACGUACAAGCAGUGGGAGCACCUUCGGGUGUGACUGCGUACCUUUUGUAUAAUGGGUCAGCGACUUAUAUUCUGUAGCAAGGUUAACCGUAUAGGGGAGCCGCAGGGAAACCGAGUCUUAACUGGGCGUUAAGUUGCAGGGUAUAGACCCGAAACCCGGUGAUCUAGCCAUGGGCAGGUUGAAGGUUGGGUAACACUAACUGGAGGACCGAACCGACUAAUGUUGAAAAAUUAGCGGAUGACUUGUGGCUGGGGGUGAAAGGCCAAUCAAACCGGGAGAUAGCUGGUUCUCCCCGAAAGCUAUUUAGGUAGCGCCUCGUGAAUUCAUCUUCGGGGGUAGAGCACUGUUUCGGCUAGGGGGUCAUCCCGACUUACCAACCCGAUGCAAACUACGAAUACCGAAGAAUGUUAUCACGGGAGACACACGGCGGGUGCUAACGUCCGUCGUGAAGAGGGAAACAACCCAGACCGCCAGCUAAGGUCCCAAAGUCAUGGUUAAGUGGGAAACGAUGUGGGAAGGCACAGACAGCCAGGAUGUUGGCUUAGAAGCAGCCAUCAUUUAAAGAAAGCGUAAUAGCUCACUGGUCGAGUCGGCCUGCGCGGAAGAUGUAACGGGGCUAAACCAUGCACCGAAGCUGCGGCAGCGACACUAUGUGUUGUUGGGUAGGGGAGCGUUCUGUAAGCCUGCGAAGGUGACCUGUGAGGGUUGCUGGAGGUAUCAGAAGUGCGAAUGCUGACAUAAGUAACGAUAAAGCGGGUGAAAAGCCCGCUCGCCGGAAGACCAAGGGUUCCUGUCCAACGUUAAUCGGGGCAGGGUGAGUCGACCCCUAAGGCGAGGCCGAAAGGCGUAGUCGAUGGGAAACAGGUUAAUAUUCCUGUACUUGGUGUUACUGCGAAGGGGGGACGGAGAAGGCUAUGUUAGCCGGGCGACGGUUGUCCCGGUUUAAGCAUGUAGGCUGGUUGUCCAGGCAAAUCCGGAUAAUCAAGGCUGAGGUGUGAUGACGAGGCACUACGGUGCUGAAGUAACAAAUGCCCUGCUUCCAGGAAAAGCCUCUAAGCAUCAGGUAACAUCAAAUCGUACCCCAAACCGACACAGGUGGUCAGGUAGAGAAUACCAAGGCGCUUGAGAGAACUCGGGUGAAGGAACUAGGCAAAAUGGUGCCGUAACUUCGGGAGAAGGCACGCUGGUGUGUAGGUGAAGUCCCUGCGGAUGGAGCUGAGACCAGUCGAAGAUACCAGCUGGCUGCAACUGUUUAUUAAAAACACAGCACUGUGCAAACACGAAAGUGGACGUAUACGGUGUGACGCCUGCCCGGUGCCGGAAGGUUAAUUGAUGGGGUUAUCCGUAAGGAGAAGCUCUUGAUCGAAGCCCCGGUAAACGGCGGCCGUAACUAUAACGGUCCUAAGGUAGCGAAAUUCCUUGUCGGGUAAGUUCCGACCUGCACGAAUGGCGUAAUGAUGGCCAGGCUGUCUCCACCCGAGACUCAGUGAAAUUGAACUCGCUGUGAAGAUGCAGUGUACCCGCGGCAAGACGGAAAGACCCCGUGAACCUUUACUAUAGCUUGACACUGAACAUUGAGCCUUGAUGUGUAGGAUAGGUGGGAGGCUUUGAAGCGUGGACGCCAGUCUGCGUGGAGCCAACCUUGAAAUACCACCCUUUAAUGUUUGAUGUUCUAACGUUGGCCCCUUACCGGGGUUGCGGACAGUGUCUGGUGGGUAGUUUGACUGGGGCGGUCUCCUCCCAAAGCGUAACGGAGGAGCACGAAGGUUAGCUAAUCCUGGUCGGACAUCAGGAGGUUAGUGCAAUGGCAUAAGCUAGCUUGACUGCGAGCGUGACGGCGCGAGCAGGUGCGAAAGCAGGUCAUAGUGAUCCGGUGGUUCUGAAUGGAAGGGCCAUCGCUCAACGGAUAAAAGGUACUCCGGGGAUAACAGGCUGAUACCGCCCAAGAGUUCAUAUCGACGGCGGUGUUUGGCACCUCGAUGUCGGCUCAUCACAUCCUGGGGCUGAAGUAGGUCCCAAGGGUAUGGCUGUUCGCCAUUUAAAGUGGUACGCGAGCUGGGUUUAGAACGUCGUGAGACAGUUCGGUCCCUAUCUGCCGUGGGCGCUGGAGAAUUGAGGGGGGCUGCUCCUAGUACGAGAGGACCGGAGUGGACGCAUCACUGGUGUUCGGGUUGUCAUGCCAAUGGCACUGCCCGGUAGCUAAAUGCGGAAGAGAUAAGUGCUGAAAGCAUCUAAGCACGAAACUUGCCCCGAGAUGAGUUCU